CUUUCCAAAGCCCCAACACUAUUUACUAAUGUUUAAAACCAAAAUUUGAGUGUUUAAACAGUAAUGAACAGUACUCAUCUCCUUCCCCAUCUUAUUUGCUUCUUAUCUGUUCUUUCCCCAUCUACUAUGGACACCCAAUUUCAAACCUUUAGAACCCAACUUAAUGAUUUUGGCAAUUUGCGUGAAAGAAUAUGUGCUAUUACACUUCAAAACUAGAAUUAUGUAUGCUAAUGUUCUUGUUCAUCAAUCUCGUCCUAUUUCUGGUGGAGUUCAACUCAAUAAUUCAGUGAGUUCUCUCCCAAUUUCUAGGUCUUUAAUCUGACUGGGGAAUUUGGAUAAUGAAUAUCAAGAGAGAUAGAUGAAGAUGAUGUAGGCUUGUUACUAUUCAUUAUUGUAAGUAUUGUGUCUUCAAGUUGGUACGAUGAUGAUGAUGUUUUGGUUUAUACUGGUUGAGGUGGUGAAAAUUACAAUAGUAGCGCUACAGAAGCUUCUGAUCAGAAGCUCAAAAGUGGAAAUCUUGCAUUAGAAAGAAGUGUACGAUGUGGGGAUCAAAUUAGGGUCAUUCGAUGUAUUCGAAAUAUGAACAAUUUUGCACUUAAUAUUUGUGUUUAUGAUUACAUUUAUACUACUCAGGAUUCUUGGAUUGAUAAAGCAAAAUCUGGGGCCAAUCUUUUAAAGUAUAGGAUGGUUAGUUUACCUGGGCAGCCUUUAUACUAUCUUUACUCUAAUUCAUUAUGAUCUAUGUUGAAAUAUAGUGACUCGAACAAGUCAUUAUAUGGGAUGAAGAUUUGGGAAACGGAUAACGCAGGUCGCCAAGCAGAAGGUUGUGCGCGGGGCGCGGAGUUUUACGCGGGGCACGGAGAAGGUUCUACCUUGGGCAGAUUGUUGUGCGCGAGCCGCAGAGUUUUACGCGGGGCGCGGAGUUUUACGCGAGGCGCGGAGCACUACGAUUUUCGCGGGAAGUUAGUUUUGGCACGUUUUUAGCCGGUUACUUUUAGUUUUUGACGGUUUCUUUUGUAUUUUCUUAACCCUAAUUUCCUUUUAUUAUGAGGUAUACUAUAUAAAGGCUCCAUAUAAUUAGAAUUAGAGAAUAUGAUGCAAUGCAAAACACAAAGUGAGGAAAAGUAAGAGAGAAAAAGCUUAGAGAGUCAUUGUUGUGGUUUCUCGUGUUCAUCUUGUAAUCUCUCGGUUUAUAGUGAAAAGUUUAUUUUCGGUGCCGGUGGAUGUAGUUAUCACGUUGAUAGUGAACAACGUUAAUUUCUCGGUGUAAUUUUCUUUAUUGUUUGUUUGAAUCUUUAUUGCUUUUCAUGAUUGUUUUCAAUCUUUGUUUUCGUUGUCGCACAGUACUCUGUUAUGUAAAGAAGUUCACUUUUUUCUUGUUAUCCAUUUUUGCCUCUCUUGUUGAUAGUUUCUGAACUUGUUCUGUGUGUUUUUAAUGUUUGCUCAUGCUUACACUCUUAGGAAGCAUCAUCACUGCGAUGUUACAUUUAAAACUAUAUGUGGCCAUCAACUUAUUUUAGCACCCUUUAGAUUGAAUUUUGGCUAAUUAGUGUAGCAACAGUAUUUCUUAUUUUGCUUAAAUAUAUGCUACCCAGAAAGAAUUGCAGUAUUAAUAUUUAUUAUGCAGCAAUCACUUAUGAAAAUUGGACUUCAUUUUUGAUUUCAUAUUGAUUGUUGAAUUGUUCUUUUAUCUUUAAACAUCUUCAAAUUCAUU